GACGAACGCUGGCGGCGUGCUUAACACAUGCAAGUCGAACGGACAGACCCGGCUUUUGUGGGUUGCUCGUUAGGCGAGCGGGUGAGUAACACGUGAGUAACCUGCACUUAACUGUGUGAUAACUUCAGGGAACUGGGGCUAAUACCGGGUAUGAGCUCCUGAUCCGUGUGGGGGGUUGGAAAGUGUCGGCGGUUGGGGAUGGAUUCGCUGCUUAUCAGCUGGAUGGGGGGGUAGGGACGUACCAGGGCUGUGACGGGUAGCCGGCCUGGGAGGGUGAACGGCGACAUGGGGCCUGCGAGACGGCCCAGACUCCUACGGGAGGCAGCAGGGGGGAACAUUGCACAAUGGGCGGAAGCCUGAUGCGGCAACGCCGCGAGCGGGAUGACGGCUUUCGGGUUGUAAACAGCUUUGGCCUGUGACGAAGAGUGCGUGACGGUACUGGGUAAAGAAGCAACGGCUAACUACGUG
rnacentral:rRNA from 1 species